GACGAACGCUGGCGGCGUGCUUAACACAUGCAAGUCGAACGAAGAGCGACGGAAGCUUGCCUCUAUCAAUCUUAGUGGCGAACGGGUGAGUAACGCGUAAUCAACCUGCCCUUCAGAGGGGGACAACAGUUGGAAACGACUGCUAAUACCGCAUACGAUCUAAUCUCGGCAUCGAGGAUGGAUGAAAGGUGGCCUCUACAUGUAAGCUAUCACUGAAGGAGGGGAUUGCGUCUGAUUAGCUAGUUGGAGGGGUAACGGCCCACCAAGGCGAUGAUCAGUAGCCGGUCUGAGAGGAUGAACGGCCACAUUGGGACUGAGACACGGCCCAGACUCCUACGGGAGGCAGCAGUGGGGAAUCUUCCGCAAUGGACGAAAGUCUGACGGAGCAACGCCGCGUGAGUGAUGACGGCCUUCGGGUUGUAAAGCUCUGUUAAUCGGGACGAAAGGCCUUCUUGCGAAUAGUGAGAAGGAUAGACGGACCGGAAUAGAAGCCACGCAUUCC
rnacentral:rRNA from 1 species